CGGACGGGUGAGUAAUGUCUGGGAAACUGCCUGAUGGAGGGGGAUAACUACUGGAAACGGUAGCUAAUACCGCAUAACGUCGCAAGACCAAAGAGGGGGACCUUUGGGCCUCUUGCCAUCAGAUGUGCCCAGAUGGGAUUAGCUAGUAGGUGGGGUAACGGCUCACCUAGGCGACGAUCCCUAGCUGGUCUGAGAGGAUGACCAGCCACACUGGAACUGAGACACAGUCCAGACUCCUACGGGAGGCAGCAUG
rnacentral:rRNA from 1 species